AGUUGCGCAUUGAGUCACAUAGAGAAUUAUUCUUUUGUCUUUUACUAAAGAAUAUCGUGUGGUCGUCGCUGUUCAAGCAACAUACGCCAUUUUUUAGAGGGUGUUUUCUUCAUGAAACCC